CUGCAACCCGCCGGUACUGCAACACGCCGGUACUGCAACACGCCGGUACUGCAACCCGCCGGUACUGCAACACGCCGGGAGUCACCUCACGCACAGACAGAAGACCCGUUCGCCGGCGUUCUCUGAUCUUGUGCACUCGGCAGCAACACUGUGAACGUCACGUGAGCGAUGCACCGUUCCUGAUUGUAAAGUCCGGGCACAUCUGGAUGGAAACAGGACCGUUGUUUAUAAUAAUUACUCUGUACGCCAUUAAACAAGAGGGAAAAUGUAUAGAAAUCGAUUAUUUCUUGCUCAAGACAGAGCAACAUUACCGACUAGUCCAACAGGAAGAAAGUACAAAGCGCAGGUGAGCUGACAGCUUCCCUCUGUGUGUUUCUGUCAUUCAGUCCCACCUGAAACAGGCAGACUAAUUAACACCAGGAGCUAAUGUGCUGCGUUCACUGUCACUAGAGACGCAGGUGUGAAUGUGUGUUCGGAAAAAAUCCUCCCUCACUAUAACAGAACGUUCAUUGUGUUGAAGUGUCUGAUCACUCUGCACAGGCAGCGCUGCAGCUAAUGAUUAUUUAUUUAUUUCAUCUAUAAACUGACAGGAAAUGCCCUGCGGCCGAGCUUGUUUUAUUCAACCAACAGUCCAGAACCAAAUAAAUCUGAUUUACUGAU